rnacentral:piRNA from 1 species
UGCAACAAGGUUGCCCCGUGGAGUGAGUGAC